AUUGAACGCUGGCGGCAGGCCUAACACAUGCAAGUCGAACGAGUGGCGGACGGGUGAGUAAUGUCUGGGAAACUGCCCGAUGGAGGGGGAUAACUACUGGAAACGGUAGCUAAUACCGCAUACCAUCGGAUGUGCCCAGAUGGGUUUAGCUAGUAGGUGGGGUAACGGCUCACCAAGGCGACGAUCCCUAGCUGGUCUGAGAGGAUGACCAUCCACACUGGAACUGAGACACGGUCCAGACUCCUACGGGAGGCAGCAGGGGGGAAUAUUGCACAAUGGGCGCAAGCCUGAUGCAGCCAUGCCGCGUGUGGUAUGACGGCCUUCUGUUUGUAAACUCCUUUCGACAGGGACGCGGUACCUGUAUAAGAAGCACCGGCUAACUACGUGCCAGCAGCCGCGGUAAUUC
rnacentral:rRNA from 1 species